AUGUUCCUUCAGGGCAGGGUGAAAUUCCCGACCGGCGGUAUUGGUGUUAACCAGAGUCCGCAAGCCGCAAGGCAGAUCCGGUGCGAAACCGGGACCGACAGUAAAGUCUGGAUGGAAGAAGGAUGAU
rnacentral:ncRNA from 2 species